rnacentral:rRNA from 1 species
UACGAAGGGGGCUAGCGUUGUUCGGAAUUACUGGGCGUAAAGGGCGCGUAGGCGGUGUGUCAAGUCAGGCGUGAAAGCCCCGGGCUCAACCUGGGAACCGCGCUUGAGACUGGCACGCUAGAGUUCGGGAGAGGAUGAUGGAAUUCCCAGUGUAGAGGUGAAAUUCGUAGAUAUUGGGAAGAACACCGAUGGCGAAGGCAGCCAUCUGGACCGACACUGACGCUGAGGCGCGAAAGCGUGGGGAGCAAACAGG